CAAUUAUUGGAGGCACUGCCUGCCCAGUGACAUCCGUUAAACGGCCGCGGUAUCCUGACCGUGCAAAGGUAGCAUAAUCAUUUGUUCUCUAAAUAGGGACUUGUAUGAAUGGCCACACGAGGGUUUAACUGUCUCUUACUUCCAAUCAGUGAAAUUGACCUUCCCGUGAAGAGGCGGGAAUUUACAAAUAAGACGAGAAGACCCUAUGGAGCUUUAAUUAAUUAGCCCACAGAGCAAGCACAACAUUUCUAAGGAAAGCAACCCACCCUCUCUACUGGACUAACAAUUUAGGUUGGGGUGACCUCGGAAUAUAAAACAACUUCCGAGUGAUUGCAGUCUAGACAAACCAGUCAAAACUUACUAUCAUUCAGUGAUCCAAAAAACCUUUUGAUCAACGGAACAAGUUACCCUAGGGAUAACAGCGCAAUCCUAUUUGAGAGUCCAUAUCGAUAAUAGGGUUUACGACCUCGAUGUUGGAUCAGGACAUCCCAAUGGUGCAGCCGCUAUUAAUGGUUCGUUUGUUCAACGAU
rnacentral:rRNA from 1 species